AAGGAGAUAAAAAUGCAACGAAAGGAACAAAUAUACCAAUGGAAGUGUAUUGAGACCAUGAACAUUAACAUGCAGUCAUCACAACAAAACAAGGAUUCAUCUUCAUGAUCAUACUAGGAUGAAAAACUAGGAUAGACGACUUAACUGGGUACUGAGGUUGUUUUUGCUGGAUUUUCCUCUACUAGUGAUAAUCUCCUCCUCUUCUCCC
rnacentral:lncRNA from 1 species